GAAAUGCGAUAAGUAAUGUGAAUUGCAGAAUUCAGUGAAUCAUCGAAUCUUUGAACGCACAUUGCGCCUAAGGGUAAUUCUCUUAGGCAUACCUGUUCGAGCGUCGUUUCAAAAUCAUGAGGCCCUAAGCCUUGUAUUGAUUGUCUGGAAAUUGUUUAGCAGUCCCAGCAGUUGAAAAAUAAUGGCAGUUUGAUGUUGACCAGAGUCACAGCACAAUGUGACAAGAUGGUGUUGUAUUAGACUAGCCUUUCCAACAAUAAUUUGUUUGUACAUUUGCGAAUGUAUUGUGGAUUGACCUCGGAUCAGGCAAGACUACCCGCUGAACUUAA
rnacentral:misc_RNA from 1 species